CUCUUCGGAUCCCGCAUGAUGGUGCCCGCGCUGGGCCCGUGGCUCCUGGCCUUGGCAUUGGGGCCGGCAGGGGUGUGGGCGCAGCUCAGGCUGGAGGAGACCGGCGGAGGGCUGCGAGCCCCCGGGGACUCCGUGCGCCUCUCCUGCCUCGGAUACGGCUUCAACUUCGGGACUUACUUCGUUCUGUGGUACCGUCAGGCACCCGGAGGUAGACUCGAGUGGGUGUCUUUCAUCAAUCCCUCCUCGACUUCCACGACAUAUGCAGCAGCGGUGGAAGGUCGAGCCACUGUCUCCCGGGACAAUUCCCGGUCUGAAGCAUAUCUGUUCCUGCGUGCCCUGCAGCCUCAGGACUCUGCUCGCUACUUCUGCGCCGUGCUUCCUCACACGGAGACAGGAAAAGCAGCUGAGCUUUAACAGAAACGUGCUGAGCCCGUCCUGGGUGCAAAAGCUGUGGGGCGAGUGAGUGCCGCAACAUCGAUGAGGGGAAGCUCAGGGCUGUUGGCA